rnacentral:rRNA from 1 species
CAAGCCCUGGAAACGGGGUCUAAUACCGGAUGGGACUGCCGGCCGCAUGGUCUGGUGGUGGAAAGCGUUUAGUGGUGCAGGAUGAGCCCGCGGCCUAUCAGCUUGUUGGUGGGGUGAGUGCCUACCAAGGCGACGACGGGUAGCCGGCCUGAGAGGGCGACCGGCCACACUGGGACUGAGACACGGCCCAGACUCCUACGGGAGGCAGCAGUGGGGAAUAUUGCACAAUGGGCGGAAGCCUGAUGCAGCGACGCCGCGUGAGGGAUGACGGCCUUCGGGUUGUAAACCUCUUUCAGCAGGGAAGAAGCCGCAAGUGACGGUACCUGCAGAAGAAGCACCGGCUAACUACGUGCCAGCAGCCGCGGUAAUACGUAGGGUGCGAGCGUUGUCCGGAAUUAUUGGGCGUAAAGAGCUCGUAGGCGGCGUGUCACGUCGGAUGUGAAAGCCCGGGGCUUAACUCCGGGUUUGCAUUCGAUACGGGCAGGCUAGAGUUCGGUAGGGGAGAUCGGAAUUCCUGGUG